rnacentral:rRNA from 1 species
UACGGAAGGUGCAAGCGUUGUUCGGAUUUACUGGGCGUAAAGAGCACGUAGGCGGGCUCGUAAGUCGAAUGUGAAAGCCCCGGGCUCAACCCGGGAAUUGCAUUCGAAACUAUGAGUCUUGAAUACCUGAGGGGUUGGGGGAAUUCCUGGUGUAGGAGUGAAAUCCGUAGAUAUCAGGAGGAAUACCAGAGGCGAAGGCGCCCAACUGGCAGAGUAUUGACGCUGAGGUGCGAAAGCGUGGGGAGCAAACAGG